GUGGGGAAUAUUGGACAAUGGGGGCAACCCUGAUCCAGCAAUGCCACGUGUGCGAAGAAGGCCUUCGGGUUGUAAAGCACUUUAGUAGGGGAGCAAGGUUACGGCGUUAAUAUCGCCGUGAUUUGAGAGUACCCUAAGAAUAAGCACCGGCAAACUCUGUGCCAGCAGCCGCGGUAAUACAGAGGGUGCAAGCGUUAAUCGGAAUUACUGGGCGUAAAGGGCUUGUAGGCGGCUAAUUAAGUUAGAUGUGAAAUACCUGGGCUUAACCUGGGAAUGGCAUUUAAUACUGAUUAGCUAGAGUAUGGUAGAGGAAAGGGGAAUUUCCGGUGUAGCAGUGAAAUGCGUAGAUAUCGGAAGGAACAUCAGUGGCGAAGGCGCCUUUCUGGACUAAUACUGACGCUGAGGAGCGAAGGCGUGGGGAGCAA
rnacentral:rRNA from 1 species